rnacentral:rRNA from 1 species
AUUGAACGCUGGCGGCAUGCCUUACACAUGCAAGUCGAACGGCAGCACGGGUGCUUGCACCUGGUGGCGAGUGGCGAACGGGUGAGUAAUACAUCGGAACGUACCUUAUCGUGGGGGAUAACGCAGCGAAAGCUGUGCUAAUACCGCAUACGGCCUGAGGGGGAAAGCGGGGGAUCGCAAGACCUCGCGCGAUUAGAGCGGCCGAUGCCUGAUUAGCUAGUUGGUGGGGUAAAAGCCCACCAAGGCGACGAUCAGUAGCUGGUCUGAGAGGACGAUCAGCCACCCUGGGACUGAGACACGGCCCAGACUCCUACGGGAGGCAGCAGUGGGGAAUUUUGGACAAUGGGGGCAACCCUGAUCCAGCAAUGCCGCGUGAGUGAAGAAGGCCUUCGGGUUGUAAAGCUCUUUUGUCAGGGAAGAAACACCGGCUCUAACACAGUCCGGGAAUGACGGUACCUGAAGAAUAAGCACCGGCUAACUACGUGCCAGCAGCCGCGGUAA